UUGUCACCUUGUUUGUACAGCAAUAACCCUGCGGUUCGUGUCGUCUUUCGGUGUUACCAGAAAAUUAGCUGCUCUCGUAGCAGGGUGUUCAUCUGUAACUCGGAUAAUCUCUUCCCUGUUCCCGUCUCCAGCUAGAGGGCUGUGACUGCGUAAAGUCGCAGAGAAAUACUUACAGGUAGAACUUUCGCUUUGUCUGGGUAACGUGGAAAUGGACAUUACGGGUUUACUGCAGGUGGGGUCGGAAAACGGCGUGUUCUGUGGUUCAGUUCCUGUAUCUGGUGCUUAUAAUUUCAGAAUACGUCAAGUAAAGUCGUAAAUGCCGGGAGAGGCGUUCAGCCUCGUUCAAGCAGCGCACUGUCCCUGCCGAGCACUGUUCGCUGUACAAGGGAACCAUUACCUCGAUUCACGUAUGCUGAAAUGUGCUGGUGAAGGUGUCAAUCGUGCUUCAAAACUCUGUAUCAACUUCCAAACGGUUUCUAAGCCUCUACUUGAAUUCACAUUAAACUUACAAACCUGC